rnacentral:rRNA from 1 species
UACAGAGGGUGCAAGCGUUGUUCGGAAUUAUUGGGCGUAAAGGGCAGGUAGGUGGUUUAGCAAGUUUACUGUGAAAUCCCUGGGCUUAACCCAGGAAGUGCGGUGAAUACUGCCAAACUAGAGUGCCGGAGGGGUUCGUGGAAUUCUCGGUGUAGCGGUGAAAUGCGUAGAUAUCGAGAGGAAUACCAGAGGCGAAGGCGACGGACUGGACGGCAACUGACACUCAGCUGCGAAAGCGUGGGGAGCAAACAGG